rnacentral:lncRNA from 1 species
AAAUUUCAGCAAGUCUUUCUACACUCUUCUAAACAGUCUUCAUGCAUCUCUAGAACUUGUAAUCAAUCAAAUUUAAUGUAUUCUAACCUAUUCUAACCCCAAAGAACACUAAACAAGCCAUUUAGUGGUUCAACGCAAUGUUUCCGAGUUCUUAGCCCAUUUGGGACCAAAUUUCAACAAGUCUUUCUCCAAACUUCUAAACACUCUUCAUGAUGGUCUAGC